GCUUAACACAUGCAAGUCGAGGGGCAGCAUUUUAUUUUGCUUGCAAACUAAAGAUGGCGACCGGCGCACGGGUGAGUAACACGUAUCCAACCUGCCGAUAACUCGGGGAUAGCCUUUCGAAAGAAAGAUUAAUAUCCGAUAGUAUAUUAAAACCGCGUGGUUUUACUAUUAAAGAAUUUCGGUUAUCGAUGGGGAUGCGUUCCAUUAGUUUGUUGGCGGGGUAACGGCCCACCAAGACUACGAUGGAUAGGGGUUCUGAGAGGAAGGUCCCCCACAUUGGAACUGAGACACGGUCCAAACUCCUACGGGAGGCAGCAGUGAGGAAUAUUGGUCAAUGGACGAGAGUCUGAACCAGCCAAGUAGCGUGAAGGAUGACUGCCCUAUGGGUUGUAAACUUCUUUUAUAUGGGAAUAAAGUAUUCCACGUGUGGAAUUUUGUAUGUACCAUAUGAAUAAGGAUCGGCUAACUCCGUGCCAGCGGCCGCGGUAAUACGGAGGAUCCGAGCGUUAUCCGGAUUUAUUGGGUUUAAAGGGAGCGUAGGUGGAUUGUUAAGUCAGUUGUGAAAGUUUGCGGCUCAACCGUAAAAUUGCAGUUGAAACUGGCAGUCUUGAGUACAGUAGAGGUGGGCGGAAUUCGUGGUGUAGCGGUGAAAUGCUUAGAUAUCACGAAGAACUCCGAUUGCGAAGGCAGCUCACUAGACUGCAACUGACACUGAUGCUCGAAAGUGUGGGUAUCAAACAGGAUUAGAUACCCUGGUAGUCCACACAGUAAACGAUGAAUACUCGCUGUUUGCGAUAUACAGUAAGCGGCCAAGCGAAAGCAUUAAGUAUUCCACCUGGGGAGUACGCCGGCAACGGUGAAACUCAAAGGAAUUGACGGGGGCCCGCACAAGCGGAGGAACAUGUGGUUUAAUUCGAUGAUACGCGAGGAACCUUACCCGGGCUUAAAUUGCAUUUGAAUAAUCUGGAAACAGGUUAGCCGCAAGGCAAAUGUGAAGGUGCUGCAUGGUUGUCGUCAGCUCGUGCCGUGAGGUGUCGGCUUAAGUGCCAUAACGAGCGCAACCCUUAUCUUUAGUUACUAACAGAUGAUGCUGAGGACUCUAGAGAGACUGCCGUCGUAAGAUGUGAGGAAGGUGGGGAUGACGUCAAAUCAGCACGGCCCUUACGUCCGGGGCUACACACGUGUUACAAUGGGGGGUACAGAAGGCAGCUACCUGGCGACAGGAUGCUAAUCCCAAAAACCUCUCUCAGUUCGGAUCGAAGUCUGCAACCCGACUUCGUGAAGCUGGAUUCGCUAGUAAUCGCGCAUCAGCCAUGGCGCGGUGAAUACGUUCCCGGGCCUUGUACACACCGCCCGUCAAGCCAUGAAAGCCGGGGGUACCUGAAGUACGUAACCGCAAGGAGCGUCCUAGGGUAAAACUGGUAAUUGGG
rnacentral:rRNA from 1 species